rnacentral:rRNA from 1 species
AUUGAACGCUGGCGGCAUGCUUCACACAUGCAAGUCGAACGAGUGGCGAACGGGUGAGUAAUGCAUCUGAACGUUCCUAGUAGAGGGGGAUAACUGCCCGAAACGAAAGCUAAUACCGCAUAUUAUUGGAUCGGCCGAUGUCUGAUUAGCUGGUUGGCGGGGUAAAGGCCCACCAAGGCGACGAUCAGUAGCGGGUCUGAGAGGAUGACCAGCCACACUGGGACUUAGACACGGCCCAGACGCCUACGGGAGGCAGCAGUGGGGAAUUUUGGACAAUGGGCGCAAGCCUGAUCCAGCCAUGCCGCGUGUCUGAAGAAGGCCUUCGGGUUGUAAAGGACUUUUGUCAGGGAAGCGGUACCUGAAGAAUAAGCACCGGCUAACUACGUGCCAGCAGCCGCGGUAAUAC